AAUAUUGGACAAUGGGUGCAAGCCUGACCCAGUCAUGCCGCGUGAGUUAUGUAGGNCCNNGGGUUNUNAAGCACUUUCAACGGNNNNNAUAAUGACGGUCACCGUAGAAGAACACCCGGCCAACUUCGCGCCAGCAGCCGCGGUAAUACGAAGGGGGCUAGCGUUGUUCGGAAUUACUGGGCGUAAAGCGCACGUAGGCGGAUUGGUCAGUUAGGGGUGAAAUCCCAGGGCUCAACCCUGGAACUGCCUUUAAUACUGCCGGUCUAGAGUUCGAGAGAGGUGAGUGGAAUUCCGAGUGUAGAGGUGAAAUUCGUAGAUAUUCGGAGGAACACCAGUGGCGAAGGCGGCUCACUGGCUCGAUACUGACGCUCAGACACGAAAGCGUGGGGAGCAAACAG
rnacentral:rRNA from 1 species